rnacentral:rRNA from 1 species
GGGUUGUGAGGUUAAGCGACUAAGCGUACACGGUGGAUGCCCUGGCAGUCAGAGGCGAUGAAGGACGUGCUAAUCUGCGAUAAGCGUCGGUAAGGUGAUAUGAACCGUUAUAACCGGCGAUUUCCGAAUGGGGAAACCCAGUGUGUUUCGACACACUAUCAUUAACUGAAUCCAUAGGUUAAUGAGGCGAACCGGGGGAACUGAAACAUCUAAGUACCCCGAGGAAAAGAAAUCAACCGAGAUUCCCCCAGUAGCGGCGAGCGAACGGGGAGCAGCCCAGAGCCUGAAUCAGUGUGUGUGUUAGUGGAAGCGUCUGGAAAGGCGCGCGAUACAGGGUGACAGCCCCGUACACAAAAAUGCACAUACUGUGAGCUCGAUGAGUAGGGCGGGACACGUGGUAUCCUGUCUGAAUAUGGGGGGACCAUCCUCCAAGGCUAAAUACUCCUGACUGACCGAUAGUGAACCAGUACCGUGAGGGAAAGGCGAAAAGAACCCCGGCGAGGGGAGUGAAAAAGAACCUGAAACCGUGUACGUACAAGCAGUGGGAGCCUCUUAAUGGGGUGACUGCGUACCUUUUGUAUAAUGGGUCAGCGACUUAUAUUCUGUAGCAAGGUUAACCGAAUAGGGGAGCCGAAGGGAAACCGAGUCUUAACUGGGCGUUAAGUUGCAGGGUAUAGACCCGAAACCCGGUGAUCUAGCCAUGGGCAGGUUGAAGGUUGGGUAACACUAACUGGAGGACCGAACCGACUAAUGUUGAAAAAUUAGCGGAUGACUUGUGGCUGGGGGUGAAAGGCCAAUCAAACCGGGAGAUAGCUGGUUCUCCCCGAAAGCUAUUUAGGUAGCGCCUCGUGAAUUCAUCUCCGGGGGUAGAGCACUGUUUCGGCAAGGGGGUCAUCCCGACUUACCAACCCGAUGCAAACUGCGAAUACCGGAGAAUGUUAUCACGGGAGACACACGGCGGGUGCUAACGUCCGUCGUGAAGAGGGAAACAACCCAGACCGCCAGCUAAGGUCCCAAAGUCAUGGUUAAGUGGGAAACGAUGUGGGAAGGCCCAGACAGCCAGGAUGUUGGCUUAGAAGCAGCCAUCAUUUAAAGAAAGCGUAAUAGCUCACUGGUCGAGUCGGCCUGCGCGGAAGAUGUAACGGGGCUAAACCAUGCACCGAAGCUGCGGCAGCGACACUAUGUGUUGUUGGGUAGGGGAGCGUUCUGUAAGCCUGUGAAGGUGUACUGUGAGGUAUGCUGGAGGUAUCAGAAGUGCGAAUGCUGACAUAAGUAACGAUAAAGCGGGUGAAAAGCCCGCUCGCCGGAAGACCAAGGGUUCCUGUCCAACGUUAAUCGGGGCAGGGUGAGUCGACCCCUAAGGCGAGGCCGAAAGGCGUAGUCGAUGGGAAACAGGUUAAUAUUCCUGUACUUGGUGUUACUGCGAAGGGGGGACGGAGAAGGCUAUGUUGGCCGGGCGACGGUUGUCCCGGUUUAAGCGUGUAGGCUGGUUUUCCAGGCAAAUCCGGAAAAUCAAGGCUGAGGCGUGAUGACGAGGCACUACGGUGCUGAAGCAACAAAUGCCCUGCUUCCAGGAAAAGCCUCUAAGCAUCAGGUAACAUCAAAUCGUACCCCAAACCGACACAGGUGGUCAGGUAGAGAAUACCAAGGCGCUUGAGAGAACUCGGGUGAAGGAACUAGGCAAAAUGGUGCCGUAACUUCGGGAGAAGGCACGCUGAUAUGUAGGUGAAGUCCCUUGCGGAUGGAGCUGAAAUCAGUCGAAGAUACCAGCUGGCUGCAACUGUUUAUUAAAAACACAGCACUGUGCAAACACGAAAGUGGACGUAUACGGUGUGACGCCUGCCCGGUGCCGGAAGGUUAAUUGAUGGGGUUAGCGGUAACGCGAAGCUCUUGAUCGAAGCCCCGGUAAACGGCGGCCGUAACUAUAACGGUCCUAAGGUAGCGAAAUUCCUUGUCGGGUAAGUUCCGACCUGCACGAAUGGCGUAAUGAUGGCCAGGCUGUCUCCACCCGAGACUCAGUGAAAUUGAACUCGCUGUGAAGAUGCAGUGUACCCGCGGCAAGACGGAAAGACCCCGUGAACCUUUACUAUAGCUUGACACUGAACAUUGAGCCUUGAUGUGUAGGAUAGGUGGGAGGCUUUGAAGUGUGGACGCCAGUCUGCAUGGAGCCGGCCUUGAAAUACCACCCUUUAAUGUUUGAUGUUCUAACGUUGGCCCCUGAUCGGGGUUGCGGACAGUGUCUGGUGGGUAGUUUGACUGGGGCGGUCUCCUCCUAAAGAGUAACGGAGGAGCACGAAGGUUGGCUAAUCCUGGUCGGACAUCAGGAGGUUAGUGCAAUGGCAUAAGCCAGCUUGACUGCGAGCGUGACGGCGCGAGCAGGUGCGAAAGCAGGUCAUAGUGAUCCGGUGGUUCUGAAUGGAAGGGCCAUCGCUCAACGGAUAAAAGGUACUCCGGGGAUAACAGGCUGAUACCGCCCAAGAGUUCAUAUCGACGGCGGUGUUUGGCACCUCGAUGUCGGCUCAUCACAUCCUGGGGCUGAAGUAGGUCCCAAGGGUAUGGCUGUUCGCCAUUUAAAGUGGUACGCGAGCUGGGUUUAGAACGUCGUGAGACAGUUCGGUCCCUAUCUGCCGUGGGCGCUGGAGAACUGAGGGGGGCUGCUCCUAGUACGAGAGGACCGGAGUGGACGCAUCACUGGUGUUCGGGUUGUCAUGCCAAUGGCACUGCCCGGUAGCUAAAUGCGGAAGAGAUAAGUGCUGAAAGCAUCUAAGCACGAAACUUGCCCCGAGAUGAGUUCUCCCUGACUCUUUAAGGGUCCUGAAGGAACGUUGAAGACGACGACGUUGAUAGGCCGGGUGUGUAAGCGCAGCGAUGCGUUGAGCUAACCGGUACUAAUGAACCGUGAGGCUUAACCUUACAACGCCGA